rnacentral:rRNA from 1 species
CCACCCGCCCGUCACAUCACGAAAGUGGGUUGUACUAGAAGUCUGUGCCCCUGACCCGCAAGGGGAGGAGCGGCCCAAGGUAUGACUCAUGAUUGGGGUG